rnacentral:rRNA from 1 species
UACAGAGGGUGCAAACGUUGCUCGGAAUCAUUGGGCGUAAAGCGCACGUAGGCGGUUUGGUAAGUCGGGUGUGAAAUCCCUCGGCUUAACCGAGGAAGUGCAUUCGAAACUACCAAGCUUGAAUACUCAAGAGGGUCUCGGAAUUCCCGGUGUAGAGGUGAAAUUCGUAGAUAUUCGGAAGAACACCAGUGGCGAAGGCGGCUCACUGGACUGGUAUUGACGCUGAGGUGCGAAAGCGUGGGGAGCAAACAGG